rnacentral:rRNA from 1 species
UAGGGAAUUUUGCGCAAUGGACGAAAGUCUGACGCAGCAACGCCGCGUGAGGAUGAAGGCCUUCGGGUUGUAAACCUCUGUUGNANAGGAANAANAGGUAGCAAUACUUUGAUGGUACUGUUUGAAUAAGCACCGGCUAACUACGUG